GGUUCUGUAGUGUAAUGGCUAUCACUGAGGAUUUUGAUUCCUCAAAUCUGGGUUCGAUUCCCAGCAGGACCU